GGUGUAGGCGGAUCUGUAAGUCAGUGGUGAAAUCUCAUAGCUUAACUAUGAAACUGCCAUUGAUACUGCAGGUCUUGAGUAAGGUAGAAGUAGCUGGAAUAAGUAGUGUAGCGGUGAAAUGCAUAGAUAUUACUUAGAACACCAAUUGCGAAGGCAGGUUACUAUGUCUUAACUGACGCUGAUGGACGAAAGCGUGGGGAGCGAACAGGAUUAGAUACCCUGGUAGUCC
rnacentral:rRNA from 1 species